rnacentral:misc_RNA from 1 species
CGACAACAAAGUGAACCACGAACUGCAAGUCUCCACAAUGAUUCUUCACUCAAUUUCUCCAUCAUCCUAUGGAAUACGUAUGGAAGAAAUCGAACAUCAUCAGCAGCUGCACGGACCAUCAGCUCAGAUAAUGGUCGGUAGGUCCAAAACUGAGGAUCCUCCUUCAGAAGGGAACAGACUUCUUUUUUCUCCACGUAUGAUAUAACUGCAAUCACAUAAAACAAUACAAAGUGAAGUGUAUUACCUAGGAUUCCAUAGAAAGCUCUUUCUAGAGAUGAUCAUCAUGAAAG